UACGUAGGGUGCAAGCGUUAAUCGGAAUUACUGGGCGUAAAGCGUGCGCAGGCGGUUAUGUAAGACAGGUGUGAAAUCCCCCGGGCUUAACCUGGGAACUGCAUUUGUGACUGCAUAGCUAGAGUACGGUAGAGGGGGAUGGAAUUCCGCGUGUAGCAGUGAAAUGCGUAGAUAUGCGGAGGAACACCGAUGGCGAAGGCAAUCCCCUGGACCUGUACUGACGCUCAUGCACGAAAGCGUGGGGAGCAAACAGG
rnacentral:rRNA from 1 species